rnacentral:rRNA from 1 species
UACGAAGGGGGCUAGCGUUGCUCGGAAUGACUGGGCGUAAAGGGCGCGUAGGCGGCGCGGUCAGUCAGGCGUGAAAGCCCUGGGCUCAACCUGGGGAUUGCGCUUGAGACGGCUGUGCUUGAGGCCGGAAGAGGGUCGCGGAAUUCCCAGUGUAGAGGUGAAAUUCGUAGAUAUUGGGAAGAACACCGGUGGCGAAGGCGGCGACCUGGUCCGGAUCUGACGCUGAGGCGCGACAGCGUGGGGAGCAAACAGGAUUAGAAACCCCCGUAGUCC